rnacentral:rRNA from 1 species
UACGUAGGGGGCAAGCGUUGUCCGGAUUUAUUGGGCGUAAAGAGCGUGUAGGCGGCCAUACAGGUCCGUUGUGAAAACUGGAGGCUUAACCUCCAGACGUCGAUGGAAACCGUAUGGCUAGAGUCCGGAAGGGGAGAGUGGAAUUCCUGGUGUAGCGGUGAAAUGCGCAGAUAUCAGGAGGAAUACCGGUGGCGAAGGCGGCAUCCUGGACCGACAUUGACGCUGAGGAGCGAAUGCUAGGGGAGCAAACGGG